rnacentral:lncRNA from 1 species
AAAGAAUUCGGACUACUGAAUUUUAAAAUCUAAAACUAAGAUCCACAAUAUAGUUUGUUCAGGAUAUGCUAAUAUAUUAUGAUAUAUAAUCAAUGGUACAGUGUAUAGCAAACUUCCUUCACAAUUUACUCACUGAUCGAAAUAUAUUAGUAUAAGGCAGUUUUAAAUCUACCUAGAUUCGUAGCUUAAUCAGCUUAAUCAGUCUGUUCAAAUGUAUAAAAGCGGAUGUAUGGAAUACUAACACAAAAAGAUAAUGAAGCAUAAGGUAGUGUUUUUAUAUCUAAUUUUGACACUUGUGCAUGAAAUAUCGAGUGACGACACUUGCGAUGUGAUAUGUGAAUUGGCUUCCAUGGGAAUCGUGGUCUGAAUGUAGCAGUUCUUGUGGCGGUGGUUCUCGGAGCAGGUACAGACAGUUUUGCUGUAAGAGCGAAUUGGCUAAUGAUAUUCGCGCCUGUAUGGCUAACUGUGGAAUGGACUACGAUAAACUAUAGCGACGAAUUUCGGUGAAUAUGAACAAUGUAAUACGACACUGUUUCCACAGUGGAUCACUUAAGCCAAGUGGCAGAGGUUGUACGUGCCUAUAUAGAUCCUUUGGUCAUUGCUGCGAAUAUGUUUUACCUGGUUGUACCCCGUUCCCCACAGAUGUUAUAUUUGUGCUUGGAUUCUUCCGCAAGUCAGACAAAGGAACAAGUUCGAUGUACAACUUGAUUUUGUGAAACAGUUUGUCGAAAACGUCAACAUCAGCAGAGAAGAAUUUCAGAUAGCAGUUAUAACAUAUUCAACAGAAGCAAGAGUAGAUAUAAACUUUUAUCAGUCCACCGAUAGGGACACACUGCGCCGUCUAAUUGAAGACAUCAGAUUCCGACCUGGAGCCACAUUUACAAAUAAAGGUCUAAAAGUGGCAAUGAAUGUUGCGAGAAAAAGUGAGAGGCGGAAAGGCAUGGUGACCUUGACUUAUGCAUUUGUUCUUACUGAUGGUAUGUCAAACAAAAGAACAGAAACAAGAGUAGCUGCUAAGGAAUUAAGAAAUGCUGAUGUCCAUGUUGUUGCAAUAGGCAUUGGAAAAGAAGUUUCACAUCAAGAACUUGUCGACAUUGCUUCUCCAGGAGAUACCUUACAGUCCCUCUUACGUUUUCUCUGUUGGAGACUUUAACGCUCUAGAUACCUUACUGAAACAGCUUGUGCAGGCAACAUGUGACGACUGCACCGCCACCAGCGACCGUUCCGAUAUUGUGUUCCUUUUAGAUGAAAGUUACGAAAUGAGUGAGACUGAAUUUCAGAUAUCUGUGGAUGCCAUGACGUCUAUUGUUAGGAGUAGUAACCACAUUGGUGAACCUAAUGGUUCAUUUUUUGGUUUAGUUCGACUGGGAAACACAUUGAAGACUGUAAUAGAUCUAUCCGGAAGCCAGAUGCGAAAUAGCCUUCAAGUUCAAUUACAAAUACUUAACAGGAAGACAAAAUGAAGUUUGCGAUAAAGAUGAGCAUUGUAGUGUAGGAAAUAUCACGUCAGCAAUUACUCGAAUAUAUAAGAAUUUCUACACUUCAACAGAACGGCAGAAUUCUAGAAAAUUUCUAAUUGUUCUGUCAAGUGGAAAGUUUGGAAACCAGAAUAUGAUCAAAGAAGAGAUGGUGGCAAUUAAUAAAGUGUCAGAUGUUAAAUUGUUUGUGAUUGGUCCAGGGACCUGACGUAAAUAUGGACGGAUUGUUGUCAUUGGCUGAAGAAGCUAAUCAUGUUUAUGUAAUUCUUGACACUAAUGACCUGUCAAAACUAGAUGUAAUGCAGUCAGAAUUUUCGUAUAACGUCUGCAAGAAGAAGACAUAAAGCAUUCAAGACGAAUUCAAAACUAGUUAAGUUGAAUGCAUGCAUGAGAUAUAUUCAUUUUUAAAGUUAUUUUGAGAAGUAGCUUGUCUGUUGCGUGUGUUUAUAUUUUGAGCUACAAAGUUUGAUAUCCAUUUAAAGGAUGUUUGUUAAGCGUCUUAGCAGUUAUUAUUUUACCUAAGUGAUAUAAUAGAGACAGCAAGGUUUUUGUACAUUUUUUCAAGUUAAUGCUGCUACUCUUGUAGCCAUUAUGUUUUUUUUUAUUUCAACGGCCGUUUUUCAUUUUAUUGUGCUACUUAUUGUACAUAGAUGUGCUCAAUCAUAUCGGAAAAUUAAACCCCUCGACUUUUCGUACAAAUGAAAAUUAUAUACAUGUACUAGUAUGGCUAUAGGAACAAUUUCUUUGAUGUCAUUCAUUCCGUAAGCUUUUAUGUUGCCAUUUUCCUUUUACGUGGCUAAAGGAACAAUAGAGAGAACAAAAGUGUAGCCACAUAAAUACCCAUAUACAGGAACGUCCGUCCGUCCGUCACACUUCUUGUCUGGAGCAUUUCUCAGAAAGGUUGAAUGUACUAAAUUGUAAUUUCAGACACUGAUAGAGCUUAUUGAGAGAGAGAGUGCACUGAUAAUUAUACACCAUAACUGGUACCAUUUUAGAAUUAUCUUCCUUUUUGUAACGUGUCCGGAGCGUAAGUUCAAAACGAUGAAAGGGAUUGACUUGAUACUUAACAUAUUGACAAAAAUCAGUGAGAGAAAGUGCAUUGUCAAAGAACCAUAGCUGACUCCAGUUUUUAAUUAUCUCCACUUAUGUUAAAAAAGCUUGUCCGGGGCAUAAGUUAAAAAGUAUAAGAAGGAAUGACUUAAUACUUCAAACAAAUAUAGAGGUCAAUGAAAGAAACUGAAAUAACUAGAACAUAUAACUCUAGCUGAACUCGUUUUUCAAUUAUCUCCCUUUAUGGAAAAAGCUUAUCCAGAGCUUAAAUCCAAAAAUAUGAAAGAGAUUGAUUUGAUACUUUAUAUAUAAAUAGAGGUCAGUAAGAGGAUAUGCAUUGUCAAAGAACCAUAACUCAAACUAAUCCAAUUUUGAAUUAUCUCCCUUUAAGGAAAAAGCUUGUCCAGAGCAUAACUUGAAAACUAAAUGAGGGAAAAACACAAUACUUUACACAUUGAUAGAAAUCAGUGAGAGGGAGUGCAGUGUCAAAGAACAAUAAUUCUGGCUUGCCCUGCUUUUGAAAUAUUCCCUUUUAUGUCCGAAAAUACUUGAAAAGCAUAUAAUUGACUCAGUAUUUUACACAUUUAUAGAUGUCAGUGGGAGAAUAUAAUACCGAUAUCAAGAUAUAAUAAUAAAAAUAAAAUCAG